rnacentral:misc_RNA from 1 species
GAUGAAGAACGUAGCGAAAUGCGAUAAGUAAUGUGAAUUGCAGAAUUCAGUGAAUCAUCGAAUCUUUGAACGCACAUUGCGCCCCUUGGUAAUCCGAGGGGCAUGCCUGUUCGAGCGUCAUUAUAACCCCUCAAGCUCAGCUUGGUGUUGGGGCCUGCUGCACUGGCAGCCCUUAAAAUCAGUGGCGGCGCCAUCUGGCUCUAAGCGUAGUAAUUCUUCUCGCUAUGGAGUCCUGGUGGAUGCUUGCCAUCAACCCCCAAUUUUUCUAUGGUUGACCUCGGAUCAGGUAGGGAUACCCGCUGAACUUAAGCAUAUCAAUAAGCGGAGGA